CUCCAGACUCCUACGGGAGGCAGCAGUGGGGGAUAUUGCACAAUGGGGGGAACCCUGAUGCAGCGACGCCGCGUGGGUGAAGGAGUGCUUCGGCAUGUAAAGCCCUAUCGGCAGGGAAGAAGCAAGACGGUACCUGACUAAGAAGCCCCGACUAACUACGUGCCAGCAGCCGCGGUAAUACGUAGGGGGCAAGCGUUAUCCGGAUUUACUGGGUGUAAAGGGGGCGCAGACGGCAGCGCAAGCCAGGAGUGAAAGCCCGGGGCCCAACCCCGGGACUGCUCUUGGAACUGCGCGGCUGGAGUGCAGGAGGGGCAGGCGGAAUUCCUGGUGUAGCGGUGAAAUGCGUAGAUAUCAGGAGGAACACCGGUGGCGAAGGCGGCCUGCUGGACUGCGACUGACGUUGAGGCCCGAAAGCGUGGGGAGCAAACAGGAUUAGAUACCCCUGUA
rnacentral:rRNA from 1 species